rnacentral:tRNA from 1 species
GGUGGGAUACUCAAGCGGUCAACGAGGACGGACUGUAAAUCCGUUGGCUAAGCCUUCGAAGGUUCGAAUCCUUCUCCCACCAC